AUGUUUUCUGGUAUUCUUGGUAUUUGUUAUUUUGAUUUUGUUUUGCUUUUUACUUGAUUUUGUUUGAAGAUGUACUUCCUCGCAUGGGAAAGUCGGGGUUAAAGGAUACCAAUGGGAAUAUGAUCGACGUACGACCACGAUUUUCCUACCAACUUUAUAGAAUAGUUUGAAUUUAUUUGGUUAUUGCGAUUCUGUAGUUUAUCUUUACACCGGAUAUGCCAUGGAAAUCAUCUACAAAUAUUUUAAGUGUUGCCCCGGGUAACUAUUGUAAUUUAGUAUUCUCUUAGUAGCCUUGUGUAUGUAUUUCUCUACAUUGUUAUAGUUUUCAUGCCUGAUGUAUAUUUAAAUUCUCGCAAUGAUUUAAUUUGAAAUUAUUUGCCUGUAAUUUAUGCAUUUUUGGUAAACAACAUAACCGACAUGAGGAAUGGUCAUGAAUGAGAACUUGAAAUAAAAUUGGAUUUGAAACAAAAACAAAAGUGUAUGGAGAUAUGAUUUUUGAAAUA